UUUGCGUUGAAGGUAUACCGGUAAGGAGUGCUGGAGCGAAUAGAAGUGAGCAUGCAGGCAUGAGUAGCGAUAAUUAAUGUGAGAAUCAUUAACGCCGUAAACCCAAGGUUUCCUACGCGAUGCUCGUCAUCGUAGGGUUAGUCGGGUCCUAAGUCGAGUCCGAAAGGGGUAGACGAUGGCAAAUUGGUUAAUAUUCCAAUACCAACAUUAGUGUGCGAUGGAAGGACGCUUAGGGCUAAGGGGGCUAGCGGAUGGAAGUGCUAGUCUAAGGUCGUAGGAGGUUAUACAGGCAAAUCCGUAUAACAAUACUCCGAGAACUGAAAGGCUUUUUGAAGUCUUCGGAUGGAUAGAAGAACCCCUGAUGCCAUCGAGCCAAGAAAAGUUUCUAAGUUUAGCUAAUGUUGCCCGUACCGUAAACCGACACAGGUGGGUGGGAUGAGUAUUCUAAGGCGCGUGGAAGAACUCUCUUUAAGGAACUCUGCAAAAUAGCACCGUAUCUUCGGUAUAAGGUGUGGUUCGCUUCGUAUUAGGAUUUACUCCGAAAGCGAAGAAACUUACAACAAAGAGUCCCUCCCGACUGUUUACCAAAAACACAGCACUCUGCUAACUCGUAAGAGGAUGUAUAGGGUGUGACGCCUGCCCGGUGCUCGAAGGUUAAUUGAUGGGGUUAGCAUUAGCGAAGCUCUUGAUCGAAGCCCGAGUAAACGGCGGCCGUAACUAUAACGGUCCUAAGGUAGCGAAAUUCCUUGUCGGUUAAAUACCGACCUGCAUGAAUGGCGUAACGAGAUGGGAGCUGUCUCAAAGAGGGAUCCAGUGAAAUUGUAGUGGAGGUGAAAAUUCCUCCUACCCGCGGCAAGACGGAAAGACCCCGUGGACCUUUACUACAGCUUGACACUGCUAUUUGGAUAAGAAUGUGCAGGAUAGGUGGGAGGCUUUGAGUAUAUGACGCCAGUUGUAUAUGAGCCAUUGUUGAGAUACCACUCUUUCUUAUUUGGGUAGCUAACCAGCUUGAGUUAUCCUCAAGUGGGACAAUGUCUGGUGGGUAGUUUGACUGGGGCGGUCGCCUCCCAAAUAAUAACGGAGGCUUACAAAGGUUGGCUCAGAACGGUUGGAAAUCGUUCGUAGAGUAUAAAGGUAUAAGCCAGCUUAACUGCAAGACAUACAAGUCAAGCAGAGACGAAAGUCGGUCUUAGUGAUCCGGUGGUUCUGUGUGGAAGGGCCAUCGCUCAAAGGAUAAAAGGUACCCCGGGGAUAACAGGCUGAUCUCCCCCAAGAGCUCACAUCGACGGGGAGGUUUGGCACCUCGAUGUCGGCUCAUCGCAUCCUGGGGCUGGAGCAGGUCCCAAGGGUAUGGCUGUUCGCCAUUUAAAGCGGUACGCGAGCUGGGUUCAGAACGUCGUGAGACAGUUCGGUCCCUAUCUGCCGUGGGCGUAAGAAGAUUGAAGAGAUUUGACCCUAGUACGAGAGGACCGGGUUGAACAAACCACUGGUGUAGCUGUUGUUCUGCCAAGAGCAUCGCAGCGUAGCUAAGUUUGGAAAGGAUAAACGCUGAAAGCAUCUAAGCGUGAAGCCAACUCUAAGAUGAAUCUUCUCUAAGCUCUCUAGAAGACUACUAGUUUGAUAGGCUGGGUGUGUAAUGGAUGAAAGUCCUUUAGCUGACCAGUACUAAUAGAGCGUUUGGCUUAUCUUUAAUAAAGCAU
rnacentral:rRNA from 1 species